rnacentral:rRNA from 1 species
UACGGAGGGGGCUAUCGUUGUUCGGAAUUACUGGGCGUAAAGCGCACGUAGGCGGCUUUGUAAGUUAGAGGUGAAAGCCCGGGGCUCAACUCCGGAAUUGCCUUUAAGACUGCAUCGCUAGAAUUGUGGAGAGGUAAGUGGAAUUCCGAGUGUAGAGGUGAAAUUCGUAGAUAUCGGAAGGAACACCUGUGGCGAAAGCGGCUCACUGGACCAUUACUGACACUGAGGCACGAAAGCUAGGGGAGCAAACAGG